rnacentral:rRNA from 1 species
AGUUCAGAUUGCAGGCUGCAACCCGCCUGCAUGAAGUCGGAAUUGCUAGUAAUCGCAGAUCAGCAUGCUGCGGUGAAUACGUUCCCGGGCCUUGUACACACCGCCCGUCACACCAUGGGAGUCGGUAACACCCGAAGUCGGUAGCCUAACCGUAAGGAGGGCGCCGCCGAAGGUGGGAUUGAUGACUGGGGUGAAGUCGUAACAAGGUACC